rnacentral:rRNA from 1 species
UACGUAGGGUGCAAGCGUUGUCCGGAAUGAUUGGGCGUAAAGAGCUCGUAGGCGGUUUGGCGCGUCUGCUGUGAAAACUGGGGGCUCAACCCCCAGCCUGCAGUGGGUACGGGCAGACUAGAGUGCGGUAGGGGAGAUUGGAAUUCCUGGUGUAGCGGUGGAAUGCGCAGAUAUCAGGAGGAACACCGAUGGCGAAGGCAGAUCUCUGGGCCGUAACUGACGCUGAGGAGCGAAAGCAUGGGGAGCGAACAGG